AGAGUUUGAUCCUGGCUCAGGAUGAACGCUAGCGGCAGGCUUAACACAUGCAAGUCGAGGGGCAGCAGGCUGUAGCAAUACGGUGCUGGCGACCGGCGCAAGGGUGCGUAACGCGUGAGCAACUUGCCCGUAACAGGAGGAUAACCGGAGGAAACUCCGACUAAUACUGCGUAGCAAUAAUUGGUGGCAUCACCGAGUGUUUAAAGGCGAAAGCCGGUUACGGAUAGGCUCGCGUGACAUUAGCUUGAUGGCGGGGUAACGGCCCACCAUGGCGACGAUGUCUAGGGGUUCUGAGAGGAAGGUCCCCCACACUGGAACUGAGACACGGUCCAGACUCCUACGGGAGGCAGCAGUGAGGAAUAUUGGUCAAUGGGCGGAAGCCUGAACCAGCCAAGUAGCGUGCAGGAUGACGACCCUAGGGGUUGUAAACUGCUUUUGCGCGGGGAUAAACUUCGCCACGUGUGGCGUUUUGCAGGUACCGCGCGAAUAAGGACCGGCUAAUUCCGUGCCAGCAGCCGCGGUAAUACGGAAGGUCCGGGCGUUAUCCGGAUUUAUUGGGUUUAAAGGGAGCGUAGGCGGCCUGGUAAGCGUGUUGUGAAAUGUGGGUGCUCAACAUCUGCACUGCAGCGCGAACUGCCGGGCUUGAGUGCGCCGGAAGCGGGCGGGAUUCGUCGUGUAGCGGUGAAAUGCAUAGAUAUCACACAGAACACCGAUUGCGAAGGCAUCUCACAAAUCCGUGAUUGACGCUGAGGCACGAAAGUGUGGGGAUCAAACAGGAUUAGAUACCCUGGUAGUCCACACUGUAAACGAUGAUGACUCGCUGUCGGCGAUAUACAGUCGGUGGCCAAGCGAAAGCGAUAAGUCAUCCACCUGGGGAGUACGACCGCAAGGUUGAAACUCAAAGGAAUUGACGGGGGCCCGCACAAGCGGAGGAACAUGUGGUUUAAUUCGAUGAUACGCGAGGAACCUUACCCGGGCUCGAACGGUACAGGAAGGAUCAAGAGAUUGAGACGCCCUUCGGGGCCUGUAUCGAGGUGCUGCAUGGUUGUCGUCAGCUCGUGCCGUGAGGUGUCGGCUUAAGUGCCAUAACGAGCGCAACCCUUGCCGUCAGUUACCAGCACGUAGAGGUGGGGACUCUGGCGGGACUGCCACCGUAAGGUGAGAGGAGGGGGGGGAUGACGUCAAAUCAGCACGGCCCUUACGUCCGGGGCGACACACGUGUUACAAUGGUGGGUACAGAGGGCAGCUACCUGGCGACAGGAUGCAAAUCUCGAAAACCCUUCUCAGUUCGGAUCGGAGUCUGCAACUCGACUCCGUGAAGUUGGAUUCGCUAGUAAUCGCGCAUCAGCCAUGGCGCGGUGAAUACGUUCCCGGGCCUUGUACUCACCGCCCGUCA
rnacentral:rRNA from 1 species